UUCAUAAGCUAAUUGGUAGCUUAAGGUAACUACAAUCAAAAGGAUGGUUGACUUUGAAGAAACCAUUUUUUACGUAGUCUUGGUUUCAAUUAAUUCGAGGAUAGCUAGCUACAACUAAAUGGUGAUUCAAUGUUUGGACAUAAUAUAGGUUUCCGAAACCAUUAUUAAGAUAGUCUUGAUAAUAUAUGUCUAAAACUAUGAAUCACAAGACAUAUAAGUUGUAGAGAUCCAUCCAUCAUGAAUCUAAGCAAGCUAGUGGGAGCUAUGAGCAUCUUAUGAGAAAAUGAUCAAAUCGUUUGAUUUCUCAUAAAGAUGUAAAUGAAUCUUUUGUUUACUAGGUUUACAAAAGGUUAGUGGGAGUUAAUCAUGUUCCUAAAAUUUAAAUAUAUAUGAUAUAUUAAUUUUGGAAAUGAGAAGAAUACUUCUUCAUUAAAGUUAUGACUUUAAAACAUUAUAUGAAGAUAGAAUGUAUAUGGGAGUUAAUCAUGUUCCUAAAAUUUAA
rnacentral:lncRNA from 1 species